GAUGAACGCUUGCUACAGGCUUAACACAUGCAAGUCGAGGGGCAGCAUGGUCUUAGCUUGCUAAGGCCGAUGGCGACCGGCGCACGGGUGAGUAACGCGUAUCCAACCUGCCUUACACUCUUGGACAGCCUUCUGAAAGGGAGAUUAAUACAAGAUGUUAUCAUGAGUAAGCAUUUUCGCAUGAUUAAAGGUUUACCGGUGUAAGAUGGGGAUGCGUUCCAUUAGAUAGUAGGCGGGGUAACGGCCCACCUAGUCUUCGAUGGAUAGGGGUUCUGAGAGGAAGGUCCCCCACAUUGGAACUGAGACACGGUCCAAACUCCUACGGGAGGCAGCAGUGAGGAAUAUUGGUCAAUGGACGAGAGUCUGAACCAGCCAAGUAGCGUGAAGGAUGAAGGUUCUAUGGAUUGUAAACUUCUUUUAUACGGGAAUAAACGGAUCCACGUGUGGAUUUUUGCAUGUACCGUAUGAAUAAGGAUCGGCUAACUCCGUGCCAGCAGCCGCGGUAAUACGGAGGAUCCGAGCGUUAUCCGGAUUUAUUGGGUUUAAAGGGAGCGUAGAUGGGUUGUUAAGUCAGUUGUGAAAGUUUGCGGCUCAACCGUAAAAUUGCAAUUGAUACUGGCAGUCUUGAGUACAGUUGAGGUAGGCGGAAUUCGUGGUGUAGCGGUGAAAUGCUUAGAUAUCACGAAGAACUCCGAUUGCGAAGGCAGCUUACUAACCUGUAACUGACAUUGGUGCUCGAAAGUGUGGGUAUCAAACAGGAUUAGAUACCCUGGUAGUCCACACGGUAAACGAUGAAUACUCGCUGUAGGCGAUAUACAGUCUGCGGCCAAGCGAAAGCAUUAAGUAUUCCACCUGGGGAGUACGCCGGCAACGGUGAAACUCAAAGGAAUUGACGGGGGCCCGCACAAGCGGAGGAACAUGUGGUUUAAUUCGAUGAUACGCGAGGAACCUUACCCGGGCUUAAAUUGCAACCGAAUACGGCGGAAACGCUAUAGCUAGCAAUAGCGGUUGUGAAGGUGCUGCAUGGUUGUCGUCAGCUCGUGCCGUGAGGUGUCGGCUUAAGUGCCAUAACGAGCGCAACCCUUGCCGAUAGUUACUAACAGGUCAUGCUGAGGACUCUGUCGGGACUGCCAUCGUAAGAUGUGAGGAAGGUGGGGAUGACGUCAAAUCAGCACGGCCCUUACGUCCGGGGCUACACACGUGUUACAAUGGGGGGUACAGAGGGCUGCUACCACGCAAGUGGAUGCCAAUCCCAAAAACCUCUCUCAGUUCGGAUUGAAGUCUGCAACCCGACUUCAUGAAGCUGGAUUCGCUAGUAAUCGCGCAUCAGCCACGGCGCGGUGAAUACGUUCCCGGGCCUUGUACACACCGCCCGUCAAGCCAUGGGAGCCGGGGGUACCUGAAGUGCGUAACCGCAAGGAGCGCCCUAGGGUAAAACUGGUGACUGGGGCUAAGUCGUA
rnacentral:rRNA from 1 species